CUACGUGCCAGCAGCCGCGGUAAUACGGAAGGUUCGGGCGUUAUCCGGAUUUAUUGGGUUUAAAGGGAGCGUAGGCCGGAGAUUAAGUGUGUUGUGAAAUGUAGACGCUCAACGUCUGACUUGCAGCGCAUACUGGUUUCCUUGAGUACGCACAACGUUGGCGGAAUUCGUCGUGUAGCGGUGAAAUGCUUAGAUAUGACGAAGAACUCCGAUUGCGAAGGCAGCUGACGGGAGCGCAACUGACGCUUAAGCUCGAAGGUGCGGGUAUCGAACAGGAUUAGAUACCCUGGUAGUCCGCACAGUAAACGAUGGAUGCCCGCUGUUGGUACCUGGUAUCAGCGGCUAAGCGAAAGCAUUAAGCAUCCCACCUGGGGAGUACGCCGGCAACGGUGAAACUCAAAGGAAUUGACGGGGGCCCGCACAAGCGGAGGAACAUGUGGUUUAAUUCGAUGAUACGCGAGGAACCUUACCCGGGCUUGAA
rnacentral:rRNA from 1 species